AUUGAACGCUGGCGGCAUGCCUUACACAUGCAAGUCGAACGGUAACAGCACUUCGGUGGCUGACGAGUGGCGAACGGGUGAGUAAUACAUCGGAACGUGCCCGAGAGUGGGGGAUAACGCAGCGAAAGCUGUGCUAAUACCGCAUACGAUCUACGGAUGAAAGCAGGGGAUUCGCAAGGACCUUGCGCUCAUGGAGCGGCCGAUGGCAGAUUAGGUAGUUGGUGGGAUAAAAGCUUACCAAGCCGACGAUCUGUAGCUGGUCUGAGAGGACGACCAGCCACACUGGGACUGAGACACGGCCCAGACUCCUACGGGAGGCAGCAGUGGGGAAUUUUGGACAAUGGGCGAAAGCCUGAUCCAGCCAUGCCGCGUGCAGGAUGAAGGCCUUCGGUUGUAACUAGCUUUGUUACGGAACGAAAGAAUCUCUUCUAAUAAAGGGGUA
rnacentral:rRNA from 1 species